AGAGUUUGAUCAUGGCUCAGGACGAACGCUGGCGGCGUGCUUUACACAUGCAAGUCGAACGAUGAAGUUCCUUCGGGAAUGGAUUAGUGGCGAACGGGUGAGGAACACGUGAGAAAUCUGCCCUUCAUUUUGGGAUAACUCCGGGAAACCGGGGCUAAUACCAAAUACUCCAUCCCGGUGGCAUCACUGGGCUGGGAAAGAAUUUCGAUGAAGGUUGAUCUCGCGGCCUAUCAGCUAGUUGGUGAGGUAAUGGCUCACCAAGGCAACGACGGGUAGCCGGCCUGAGAGGGCGACCGGCCACACUGGGACUGAGACACGGCCCAGACUCCUACGGGAGGCAGCAGUGGGGAAUAUUGGGCAAUGGGCGCAAGCCUGACCCAGCGACGCCGCGUGAGGGAUGAAGGUCUUCGGAUUGUAAACCUCUUUCAGUGGGGAAGAAGCGAAAGUGACGGUACCCAAAGAAGAAGCACCGGCUAACUAUGUGCCAGCAGCCGCGGUAAUACAUAGGGUGCAAGCGUUGUCCGGAAUUAUUGGGCGUAAAGAGCUCGUAGGUGGUUUAUCACGUCGGAUGUGAAAUUCUGAGGCUCAACCUCGGACCUGCAUUCGAUACGGGCAAACUAGAGUGUGGUAGGGGAGACUGGAAUUCCUGGUGUAGCGGUGGAAUGCGCAGAUAUCAGGAGGAACACCAAUGGCGAAGGCAGGUCUCUGGGCCAUUACUGACACUGAGGAGCGAAAGCGCGGGGAGCGAACAGGAUUAGAUACCCUGGUAGUCCGCGCCGUAAACGGUGGGCACUAGUUGUGGGAACCUUCCACGGUUUCCGCGACGCAGCUAACGCAUUAAGUGCCCCGCCUGGGGAGUACGAUCGCAAGAUUAAAACUCAAAGGAAUUGACGGGGCCCCGCACAAGCAGCGGAGCAUGCG
rnacentral:rRNA from 1 species